CUAUGAUGUAUGAUCAAAUUAAUGGGGAAAAAAAAUAGGAGUAAAAUUUGUCUCUUGUUUCUGCAGAAAUUUCUCUUGAAUUGAUUGGUUUUGUUCACCAUUUCGAUUCAACUGUGCUACUCUUCGACAUCACUUUCUUUGAAAAAAAUCUGGUUCUUGAGAUUACAGCACAAUGAGCUGGUAGUGACUUAUAAAGUGGUAUUUAUUUAAAGAAGUUGUGCUAGUUCGUUAGUUUCCAUUGUAGCUACAAGAUCAGUUUGCAUGUUUUCUGAUAUGUCGCUGUAUAAAUUCAUACAGCUUAAUGUUUGAAUUUAGGAGUGCGAUUUCGAGACGAGGUAUGAAAAAGGAAUUCGCUUGAGUUGACAAUGACAACGACAUAAAUAGCGAUGACAAGAAAUAGGCAUUUUGCCAAUUUGAUGUUGAACGGAAGCGGGAGAAAACACUUGAAGGUAUGAAGGACUUUGAUACUUUGCAUUCAGCGUCUCGAAAACUUAUUGGCUUCUUUCCUUGUCAAAUUCUAGAUCCCCUGUUUAUUCAUUGUCUAGCUAAACUAUCACCUAAUGAGUGGACAAGCCUGUUAAAUUCUGCUCUAUUUCAGAAUUUGAUCGUCAC
rnacentral:lncRNA from 1 species